rnacentral:misc_RNA from 1 species
UUUCCGUAGGUGAACCUGCGGAAGGAUCAUUAUUGAAUAAACAGUGUGGGUUGUUGCUGGCCUUCUGGCAUGUGCACGCCUGCCAUAUGCUUCAUUCCCUUCUUUCCACCUGUGCACUAUGUGUAGGCUAUGUAUGCUGUAUUGUCAGGCCCUUCAUAAGGCUUGGUUUAGAGAGGAUGCUUGUCUUUAUGAGACAGGCUCAUCUUGGGCGUACAGGUCUAUGUUUUACACCAACACCAAAUGAAUAUCUUAGAAUGUAUUUUUUCAGGCUCUUGCUAGCCUUUAAACCAUAUACAACUUUCAACAACGGAUCUCUUGGCUCUC